rnacentral:rRNA from 1 species
AGGGUUUGCUCAGUAUUGAGUAUUCUAAAACUAGAAUGUUCAAUUCUGAGCAAAACCAAGCGGCGGACGGGUGAGUAACGCGUGGGUAACCUGCCCUAUACACAUGGAUAACAUACUGAAAAGUUUACUAAUACAUGAUAAUAUAUAUUUGCGGCAUCGCAGAUAUAUCAAAGUGUUAGCGGUAUAGGAUGGACCCGCGUCUGAUUAGCUAGUUGGUGAGAUAACUGCCCACCAAGGCGACGAUCAGUAGCCGACCUGAGAGGGUGAUCGGCCACAUUGGAACUGAGACACGGUCCAAACUCCUACGGGAGGCAGCAGUGGGGAAUAUUGCACAAUGGGCGAAAGCCUGAUGCAGCAACGCCGCGUGAACGAUGAAGGUCUUCGGAUCGUAAAGUUCUGUUGCAGGGGAAGAUAAUGACGGUACCCUGUGAGGAAGCCCCGGCUAACUACGUGCCAGCAGCCGCGGUAAUACGUAGGGGGCUAGCGUUAUCCGGAUUUACUGGGCGUAAAGGGUGCGUAGGUGGUCCUUCAAGUCGGUGGUUAAAGGCUACGGCUCAACCGUAGUAAGCCGCCGAAACUGGAGGACUUGAGUGCAGGAGAGGAAAGUGGAAUUCCCAGUGUAGCGGUGAAAUGCGUAGAUAUUGNGAGGAACACCAGUAGCGAAGGCGGCUUUCUGGACUGCAACUGACACUGAGGCACGAAAGCGUGGGUAGCAAACAGGAUUAGAUACCCUGGUAGUCCACGCUGUAAACGAUGAGUACU